CCUACGGGGGGCUGCAGUAGGGAAUCUUCGGCAAUGGACGAAAGUCUGACCGAGCAACGCCGCGUGAGUGAAGAAGGUUUUCGGAUCGUAAAGCUCUGUUGUAAGUCAAGAACGUGUGUGAGAGUGGAAAGUUCACACAGUGACGGUAGCUUACCAGAAAGGGACGGCUAACUACGUGCCAGCAGCCGCGGUAAUACGUAGGUCCCGAGCGUUGUCCGGAUUUAUUGGGCGUAAAGGGAGCGCAGGCGGUCAGGAAAGUCUGGAGUAAAAGGCUAUGGCUCAACCAUAGUGUGCUCUGGAAACUGUCUGACUUGAGUGCAGAAGGGGAGAGUGGAAUUCCAUGUGUAGCGGUGAAAUGCGUAGAUAUAUGGAGGAACACCAGUGGCGAAAGCGGCUCUCUGGUCUGUCACUGACGCUGAGGCUCGAAAGCGUGGGUAGCGAACAGGAUUAGAUACCCCGGUAGUC
rnacentral:rRNA from 1 species